rnacentral:rRNA from 1 species
UGAAUACGAGAUGCUACGGCGUCGAAGCAGUCUAUGUCAUACUUCCAAGAAAAGCUUGCACUGUCAUAAACAAAUAAUGCCUGUACCAUAACCGACACAGGUGGGUAGGUAGAGUAUACUAAGGGGCGCGAGAUAACUCUCUCUAAGGAACUCGGCAAAAUGACUCCGUAACUUCGGGAGAAGGAGUGCCUUAUUUAUAAGGUUGCAAUAACAAGAUCCAAGCAACUGUUUACCAAAAACACAGGUCUCCGCUAAGUCGUAAGACGAUGUAUGGGGGCUGACGCCUGCCCAGUGCCAGAAGGUUAAAGAAGUUGGUUAGCAUCCGCGAAGCUGAUAACUGAAGCCCUGGUGAACGGCGGCCGUAACUAUAACGGUCCUAAGGUAGCGAAAUUCCUUGUCGGGUAAGUUCCGACCCGCACGAAAGGCGUAAUGAUUUGGAUACUGUCUCGGAGAGGGGCUCGGUGAAAUAGACUUGUCUGUGAAGAUGCGGACUACCUGCACCAGGACAGAAAGACCCUAUGAAGCUUUACUGUAACCUGAAAUUGAAAUUGGACUUUACUUGCGCAGUAUAGGUGGGAGGCGUUGAGAAUAUUCUUGCGGGAUUAUUGGAGCCAUCAGUGAGAUACCACUCUUGUAAUGUUAGAUUUCUAACUUUGUAUCAUUAUCUGGUCAAAGAACAGUUUCAGGCGGGCAGUUUGACUGGGGCGGUCGCCUCCUAAACGGUAACGGAGGCGCACAAAGGUUUCCUCUGAACGGGUAGAAAUCGUAUCUAGAGUGUAAAGGCAUAAGGAAGCUUGACUGUGAGACCUACAAGUCGAGCAGGGACGAGAGUCGGUCUUAGUGAUCUGACGGUGCUGAGUGGAAAGGCCGUCACUCAACGGAUAAAAGUUACUCUAGGAUAACAGGCUGAUCUCCCCCAAGAGUUCACAUCGACGGGGAGGUUUGGCACCUCGAUGUCGGCUCAUCGCAUCCUGGGGCGGUAGUACGUCCCAAGGGUUGGGCUGUUCGCCCAUGAAAGCGGUACGCGAGCUGGGUUCAGAACGUCGUGAGACAGUUCGGCCCAUAUCCGGUGUAGGCGUUAGAAUAUUGAGAGGAGCCUUCUUUAGUACGAGAGGACCGAGAAGGACAUACCUCUGGUGUACCAGUUAUCGUGCCAACGGUAAACGCUGGGUAGCUAUGUGUGGAGUGGAUAACCGCUGAAAGCAUCUAAGUGGGAAGCCCACCUCAAGAUAAG